rnacentral:rRNA from 1 species
CCUACGGGGGGCUGCAGUGGGGAAUAAUGGACAAUGGGGGCAACCCUGAUCCAGCCAUGCCGCGUGUGUGAAGAAGGCCCUCGGGUUGUAAAGCACUUUCAGUGAGGAAGAACGCCUGGUGGUUAAUACCCAUCAGGAAAGACAUCACUCACAGAAGAAGCACCGGCUAACUCCGUGCCAGCAGCCGCGGUAAUACGGAGGGUGCGAGCGUUAAUCGGAAUUACUGGGCGUAAAGCGCGCGUAGGUGGCUUGAUAAGCCGGUUGUGAAAGCCCCGGGCUCAACCUGGGAACGGCAUCCGGAACUGUCAAGCUAGAGUGCAGGAGAGGAAGGUAGAAUUCCCGGUGUAGCGGUGAAAUGCGUAGAGAUCGGGAGGAAUACCAGUGGCGAAGGCGGCCUUCUGGACUGACACUGACACUGAGGUGCGAAAGCGUGGGUAGCAAACAGGAUUAGAUACCCUAGUAGUC